GUCUGUGUGAAGUUACAUAGAGUCUGACCUGCCCAUUGAAAAAAUUAAAAGGCCGCGGUAUAUUAACUGUGCAAAGGUAGCAUAAUCAUUAGCUUUUUAAUUGAAGGCUUGUAUGAAGGGUUUGACAAAGAAAAGACUGUCUUUAAUUUUAUUUUUGAAGUUAACUUUUAAGUGAAAAGGCUUAAGUAAAUUAAAGGGACGAUAAGACCCUAUAAAUCUUUAUACUAUAUAUAUUUUUUUGUUUAUUAGUGUGUAAAAAAAGUUAAGAAUUAACAGGUAAGAUAAUAUGUAUUUUAUUGGGGUGAUGAGAAUAUAAAAUUAACUGUUCUUAAGAAAAACAAAGUUAUUUGAAGAAUUUAGUAGAUCCUUUAUAGAGAUUAAAAGUUUAAGUUACUUUAGGGAUAACAGCGUUAUUUUUUUUGAGAGUUCUUAUCGAAAAGAAAGUUUGCGACCUCGAUGUUGAAUUAAGAAAUCUCUAUGGUGUAGAAGUUAUAGAGAGAGAGUCUGUUCGACUUUU
rnacentral:rRNA from 1 species